rnacentral:lncRNA from 1 species
CCAAACUAAGUGUAAGAUUAACAUUUCCCUUCAUGUCAGUGCGCAAAGAAUCUUUAGUUUGUGUAUUUAUACAAUGCCUUAGAAACCCAUUAAUAAUGCAGUGGAGGACCAUUUCAUUAUUAGUUCAGGUGAAGUGGUCACACAUAGAUAGAAUAUAAUAUUUUGUGUUUAGGGUUCAUCAGAUCCAAGUCAUAAUAAUCCAUUCACAUCUUGCAGUUGCAGAUAUAUAUAUAUAUAUAUAUAUAUAUAUAUAUAUAUAUAUAUAUAUAUAUAUAUAUAUAUGCAUGCAUGCCUCCAUCUAUUUCUUCAUAGAUUUUCAAUUUCAUUAGCUAUUUCAUUACAUUUUUUGUUAUGUUUAUGGUUUUAACUGUGAGUAUAAUGAACUGGAGUGGUGUGUAUGGUGGGAAGAUUCAAGUUCUUUUUCCUUACAUGUUUGAAUAUUAGCACAAUGAGGGCAUGUUGUAGGCUUCGACUGUGUUGGAUUAUGGUUUCUGCCACAACAUGCAUUUCAUGCUUUUGGUGAAGCCUACCACAAACCCUCCUUAUGCUAAUAUUCAAAGGUUCGAAGAGUGUUUAUGUGUGCUGCUAUGUUGCUAUGAUCAGUUGAACCAAGCGAAUACUUAAAGGGAAAUUAACUUUAAUUCAUUGUAUUUAGUUCUCUAAUAUAUUUAUGCAGGUAAGGUAUUUGAUGAAUUGACAAAACACAUUUUUCACUUCUUUCCACUCUCCAAUAAUGCCAACCAGAUGGAACGGAAGCUCACAAAAUAUCGAAUUUGUUGUGCGGAAGGAGUUGCUUAUGAACAAACCUCUCCGAACCAAAAUCCCCGAUGGAAACAAAGUUGAAGGGAAAAAAGAAAACAAGAAAUGGAAGUUUUUUUCAACUUCUCUGUGUUGUUGUCUGAAAGGAGAACAACAAGCCUAGUAAUGAAUUUCUAAGUCUCUGCCUUUGCCUCAAAGUGAUGAUGAAAAUUCUGUGUAUGUUUUGAAUUUUGUUUCAAUUCUGAUAUAAACAUGCACUAAGUCCAUUUUAGGUUUAAAGUUUAAAAAGUGUUCUCACAAAUUUCUAAUGUAUGACACGAAGUUCAACACACUAAUUUUUAAAAUAAAAAUACUUUUCAAUUCAGCUAAAGUUAAUCAAAAUAUCUUAAUAUAAUGCCUCAUUUGAUCUAAUAUAUUAUCAAUACAAUAAUAUUUCACAUAUUACUAUUGUAUUUCAAUAUAUUUUUGUCCCUAUGUCCCUGAUCCAAAAUUAAACCAUCCAGUUACUUAUAGUAUAAAAAUGAUUGAAAUGAAUUUUUCUCUGAGAAAUAAUUGUUAGUUUUUAUUCAAAUAUUUUUAGUUUUGUGUUUUUAAAUUUUUUAUUGGUUUGAUUGUAGAAUGAUGUGCAGUGUAACUACUUCCACUGGGUUAAUGAAGUGAAACCUCAAAUUGAAGUAGCUGAAUGAUCUAAAGUUUGGAUCAUGAACAAAAACCAAUUUUGUGUUCUAAUAUAUAAGGACAAAAAAACAUAUUUAACCAUACUAAUAAUAAUAGUAAUAAUGUUAAUAUUAAUAAUAUGAGUAAUAAUUACAAUAAUGUUAUUAUUAUUUUUCAUAAUAAUAAUAGUAAUGAUAAUAAUAUAAAUAAUAAUAAUUUUAAUAAAAAUAAUAUUCAAUAAUCUAUUUUAAUAUAUAAAGGGAUUUGGUUUACACAUUUACUUUUUCAAUUUUAUUCUUUAUAAUAUUAAAAUAUUUUGUUUUCCAAUUGAAAAUUUGAAUUUUAAAAGAGUAAGAAAAUUUUGAAUUUAAAAAAAAAUAAAGAAUCCAAUCUCUUACAAUUGUUCCCAUUAAAUAACUACUUUUUUUAAAUUCAAAUAAUUCUUUCUACUAAAAAACAACCUACACAAUAAAUUUUUUAUAAAAAUUAUUAUUUUUAUAAAAAUAUUUUUUAUAAUUUAAUAAUAUAUUUAUUCCAAUAAUUAUUAUAAUAAUAUUAUUUUUUGUCAAAAUAAAAAAGUGUAAUUAUUCAUAUUUUAAAAAAAUAAUUUUUUUCUUUAUUUAAUAAAAUAAAUAAUUGAAUAAUUAUUUUUAUUUUAAAAUAAUUAAAUAACUUCUCUUUUUAGAAAUAAUUGUUACAUAUAUUUAUAUAGAAUAAUUUUUAUCUUUUAAUAUAUAUAAUUUCUUCUUUAAAGAAAGAAUAUAAUCAAUUCUUAAUAUAAUUUAAGAAAUAAAUUUUAUUAACAAAAAUUAUACUCAUUAAUUGUAGGUAAAUUUAAAGACAAACAUAUUAUCAACAAAUUCUUGAUCGUCACUUUUCGUUCGUUUUUUUAUUUAGAGACAAAAGUUUAGUAUUUCUAACAAAUUUUGCCUAUCGAUAAAGCCAAUUUUUACAUAGUGUUCUGUAAAAAUGGUUGGUUCUUGAUUUUGUCUUUCAAAUAUGAAAGAAGUUAGGUAUUUAUUUUGCUUUCCAAACUCGUUCAAAGUGAAGAAACUUAAGUUUCAAUUAUAAAUCUCAAGUGCAAAAAUUCAAUCAGUACAUAUCUUCUUAUCUUCUUGAUAUAAUUGAAGAUGGUAGAUACUUCACUACAUUAUGAAGAUUGUAGAUACUCUUAUUACCAUAUAUUUGUUGUGUAGUAUUAAAUAAUAACGAUCUCACUUGAAGCUGCAUUAUUUGUUUAAGCAACAUUUGUUCAAAGAAAAAUAAAAACAAUAUAUAUAUAUAUAUAUAUUUUGUACUCAUACGGGCGAGACUGAAGAUCCGGUCAUCCUGACCGAGACUCGGACUUGCUGACCGAGACCGGGGAAAUCUUGUCGAGACCACAAAAACUUGGUCGAGACAAGAAAAAUCGCCACGGUCAAUCUGACCGGCCGACCCAUACAUUCAUUAACGCUCAAAUCGAGGUUAGUGGAGCUAAUCUGUCAUUAAGGAUUAGGUAAUACACCUAUAAGUGAGAUUCAUUACACUAAUCAGAUCCAACAAGGUAAGUCCAUUAAAAUGGUAUAAAUAACACAUAUCCUAAGGAGAAAGGUACGUCAUUUAUUAUUGUGCACCUACCCGAAUGCGAUCACCCGCUUUACUGACUUGAGCGUUCCGCAGGUACCUCCAUUCGAUGUUCACCCAAGACCGAGAGUCGAAGAAGAAACACGAAGACGAGAAGAACUUCAGUCAAGCACUCAACAACCUGUCUGAUCAAGGAGGAGGACGAAAACUUCAAUAGUUCUCUAGGUCCUAUCUCCCUAGCAGAAACAUAUAUAUAUAUAUUUUUUAAAGAGACUUAUCAUAAGAUAAGUGUUCUGAAUGGAAAAGAGAUUAAUUAUGUGACAAAGCGAACCUCCUUUAUAGAAGAAUCCAAAAAAGUGAAAAACAGCAACACCAUUAUUGAAAUCAUUGAAUAAAACAAAGAACAAGAGAAUUAGAUUCCACCCAAAUUAAGUGUAAGGUUUACAUUUCCCUUCAUGUGAGUGAGCAAAGAAUCUUUAGUUUGUGUAUUUAUAGAAAGCCUUAGAAACCCAAUAAUAAUGCAGUGGAGAAGCAUUUGAUUAUUAGUUCAGGUGAAGUGGUCAAACAGAGAUAUAAUAUAAUAUUUUGUCUUUAGGUUCAUCAGAUCCUAGUAAUAAUAAUCCAUUUACAUCAUUGAGUUUCAGUUGCAGAUAUAUAUAUGCAUGUCUCCACCUAUUUCUUCAUAGAUUUUCAGUUUUCAUUCCAGUUCUGUUCAUUAACCAUUUCAUUACAUUUUUUCUUAUGUAUAUAUGGUUUUAACUGCCAUACAUGCAUCUAUACUGAUAAGAUGCAUAUAAGUUUAUAUAUAUGGCAUGAUAAGUGAUGCAUGAUGCAUCUUAUAUAUAACCUUUUGGUUUGUUGGAGUAAACUUGUUGAUGUCUUUUAUGCAGGUUUUUGACUUUUGGCUCCUUUCCCACUCUCCAAUAAUGGAAAAAGCGACGAUAGAAACCUUUGAACCCAUAAAGUUAGAAACCAUUGAACCCAAAUGGAUUGACAAUGAACCAGAAGUUGGACCCUUUUGGAACCAAAGCACAGCAAAUAAACACAGGGAGGUGAAGAAGUCGCAUACAGACCUAAGCAAACCUGUCCAAACCAAAAUCUGGUGGAAUGGAAAAAAAACUCUUUUCUGAAAGGUGAUGAACAAGCCAAGUAAUCAAUUUCUAAGUGUACCUUUGCCUAAAAGUGAUGCAACUUCUACUAGUGUAUGAAACCACAAAUAAGUGAUGAAACUUCAACUAGUGUAUGAAACCACAAAUAAAUAUGUACUGUUUCAGGAAUAAAACUACUUUUUAAUUUUGUUUCAAUUCUCAUGUAAACAUGCACUAGCUAGAAGUUCAACACACUAAUUUUUAAAAUAAAAAUACUUUUGAAUUCCGCUAAAAUUGAUUAAA